AAAGAAGGAAAGAAAGAAAGAAGGAACGAAAUAGAUGAUAUAUGAUGGUGCUGUAAUUUAAGCCAAAGGAGUGGUGAGCCUCAGGUUAAAAAGCACAAUCUUAGCCUCAUCAUGAUCAGGAUGACCAUGAUCGCCAGCAACACACUACUGUUUUGAUCAUGGUUAAUUAGUUGCAGCAAAAACCUUCCUGAUCAAUAGUCUACUUCC
rnacentral:misc_RNA from 1 species